AUAUUGGACAAUGGGGGAAACCCUGAUCCAGCGACGCCGCGUGAGUGAAGAAGUAUUUCGGUAUGUAAAGCUCUACCAGCAGGGAAGAACAUGACGGUACCUGACUAAGAAGCCCCGGCUAACUACGUGCCAGCAGCCGCGGUAAUACGUAGGGGGCAAGCGUUAUCCGGAUUUACUGGGUGUAAAGGGAGCGUAGACGGUUAUGCAAGUCUGAAGUGAAAGCCCAAGGCUCAACCAUGGGACUGCUUUGGAAACUGUAAAACUGGAGUGCAGGAGAGGUAAGCGGAAUUCCUAGUGUAGCGGUGAAAUGCGUAGAUAUUAGGAGGAACACCAGUGGCGAAGGCGGCUUACUGGACUGUAACUGACGUUGAGGCUCGAAGGCGUGGGGAGCAAAC
rnacentral:rRNA from 1 species